AAACAUUGCUCCGGACCAGUUUGACUCUCCACAGGGACAAAAUGAUUUCUCUCAGACGGUGCCAACUGUAAAUAUUGAUAGUGAGCAAGUCUUACAGACACAAGGAAGCUCUACACCUUCUAUAGAUGCUGCGAGCAAUACCAG